UCCUGGUUUCCCAGGCGGUCCCAUCAGAGUGCUGAAGCUAUGCAACGAGCAACUGAUGGCAAGGGUUGCGCUCGUUAGAGGACUUAACCCAACAUCUCACGACACGAGCUGACGACAGCCAUGCAGCACCUGUGAAUCUGUCCGAACCGAAGCUCGGAAAGCUAUAUUUCUAUAGCGGUCAGAAACAUGUCAAGCCUAGGUAAGGUUCUUCGCGUAGUGUCGAAUUAAACCACAUGUUCCACCGCUUGUGCGAACCCCCGUCAAUUCCUUUGAGUUUUAAUCUUGCGACCGUAAUCCCCAGGCGAAUCACUUAACGCGUUAGCUUCGACACCAAUCUAGCAGAGCCAGACUGACGUCUAGUGAUUAUCGUUUACAGCGUGGACUAC
rnacentral:misc_RNA from 1 species